UGCGGAGGGAUCAUUACCGAGUUUACAACUCCCAAACCCCUGUGAACAUACCACUUGUUGCCUCGGCGGAUCAGCCCGCUCCCGGUAAAACGGGACGGCCCGCCAGAGGACCCCUAAACUCUGUUUCUAUAUGUAACUUCUGAGUAAAACCAUAAAUAAAUCAAAACUUUCAACAACGGAUCUCUUGGUUCUGGCAUCGAUGAAGAACGCAGCAAAAUGCGAUAAGUAAUGUGAAUUGCAGAAUUCAGUGAAUCAUCGAAUCUUUGAACGCACAUUGCGCCUGCCAGUAUUCUGGCGGGCAUGCCUGUUCGAGCGUCAUUUCAACCCUCAAGCACAGCUUGGUGUUGGGACUCGCGUUAAUUCGCGUUCCCCAAAUUGAUUGGCGGUCACGUCGAGCUUCCAUAGCGUAGUAGUAAAACCCUCGUUACUGGUAAUCGUCGCGGCCACGCCGUUAAACCCCAACUUCUGAAUGUUGACCUCGGAUCAGGUAGGAAUACCCGCUGAACUUAAGCAUAUCAAUA
rnacentral:rRNA from 1 species